AAAAUACACAAGAUACGAAAAAAUUGGACAAGGUGCUUCUGGUACGGUGUAUACAGCCAUUGAUGUUGCUACUGGCCAAGAGGUAGCUAUCAAGCAGAUUAACCUACAGAAGCAGCCCAAGAAGGAGCUGAUCAUCAAUGAGAUCCUGGUGAUGAAGGAGCUGAAGAACCCAAACAUUGUCAACUACGU